rnacentral:lncRNA from 1 species
UGGUACAGAAAUAUGCCUCCUCACUGACUCUAAGGGACCAGUCUCGUGAUCAGAUACGAACUGAAUAUCAGGAGAUGCCCUGUGACCACGAGGAGGUAAAAAUGGUUCUUCCUCCUCUGCUCUCUCCUUAGCUCUCUCUUCAACAUCCUUCGACCAACCACCAUCAGUCUUUGAAAAACCCAUGCGAUGCAGUGUAUGGCGAUUGAUGGUGUUAGAAUGUGACAAUUUGGUGACUGUCUCCUUCUCAAAAUAGACUCCAAACCUCCUAAAGAUCAGGGUGAGUGCCAUACCAUAAGGCAAGUGAGCCUUAUACCUGUUCAGAGUCUCCCUC